AUUGAACGCUGGCGGCAGGCCUAACACCUGCAAGUCGAGCGAGCGGCGGACGGGUGAGACAUGUAUGGGGACUGCCCGAUAGAGGGGGAUAACUACUGGAAACGGUAGCUAAUACCGCAUACUAUCGGAUAACCCAUAUGGGAUUAGCUAGUAGUUGAGGUAAUGGCUCAUCUAGGCGACGAUCCCUAGCUGGUCUGAGAGGAUGAUCAGCCGCACUGUGACUGAGACACGGCCCAGACUCGAAGGGAGGCAGAAGUGGGGAAUAUUGCACAAUGGGCGCAAGCCUGAUGCAGCCAAGCCGCGUGGAUGAAGAAGGCCCUGGGGUUGUAAAGUACUUUCGGUCGUGAGGCGUUAUCGACAGAAGAAGCACCGGCUAACUCCGUGCCAGCAGCCGCGGUAAUUC
rnacentral:rRNA from 1 species